rnacentral:rRNA from 1 species
AUUGAACGCUGGCGGCAUGCCUUACACAUGCAAGUCGAACGGCAGCACGGGAGCAAUCCUGGUGGCGAGUGGCGAACGGGUGAGUAAUAUAUCGGAACGUGCCCAGUCGUGGGGGAUAACGCAGCGAAAGCUGUGCUGAUACCGCAUACGAUCUAUGGAUGAAAGCGGGGGAUCGCAAGACCUCGCGCGAUUGGAGCGGCCGAUAUCAGAUUAGGUAGUUGGUGGGGUAAAAGCCCACCAAGCCGACGAUCUGUAGCUGGUCUGAGAGGACGACCAGCCACACUGGAACUGAGACACGGUCCAGACUCCUACGGGAGGCAGCAGUGGGGAAUUUUGGACAAUGGGCGCAAGCCUGAUCCAGCAAUGCCGCGUGCAGGAUGAAGGCCUUCGGGUUGUAAACUGCUUUUGUACGGAACGAAACGGUGAUCCCUAAUACGGAUUGCUAAUGACGGUACCGUAAGAAUAAGCACCGGCUAACUACGUGCCAGCAGCCGCGGUAAUACGUAGGGUGCGAGCGUUAAUCGGAAUUACUGGGCGUAAAGCGUGCGCAGGCGGUUAUAUAAGACAGAUGUGAAAUCCCCGGGCUUAACCUGGGACCUGCAUUUGUGACUGUAUAGCUAGAGUACGGUAGAGGGGGAUGGAAUUCCGCGUGUAGCAGUGAAAUGCGUAGAUAUGCGGAGGAACACCGAUGGCGAAGGCAAUCCCCUGGACCUGUACUGACGCUCAUGCACGAAAGCGUGGGGAGCAAACAGGAUUAGGUACCCUGGUAGUCCACGCCCUAAACGAUGUCAACUGGUUGUUGGGUCUUCACUGACUCAGUAACGAAGCUAACGCGUGAAGUUGACCGCCUGGGGAGUACGGCCGCAAGGUUG